AUUAUGAGAAAUCAAUUAAUUGUUUUUUUUUUGUUCUUAUUACUAUAAGGUAGUUUUUUUUGGUACAUAUAAGAAAUGACAAGCAAUGGAAAAUUCACACAUACAAAGUUGAGGGAUGAGGAUUCUAACCUGGUCAUGGCGUUCGACCUAACGAUUUUGACAUUUCUGCCGGUUAAGAUGGAAUCUGUGGAUUGUGAGCUAUUAACUAUUACUGUUACUAUAACAUAACAUGAAUGAAGCUUUGUCUUUCAUUAUGGUUUUUGUUUCAAAAGAUGGUCAAAAUUAAAACCAUAUCAUGAAAAACAUAUCAAAAAAAUUCUAAACUUCAACAAAAUUUGUGAUUGUUGUGACAGAAGGGACAGAAAAGAUGACAAGAAGAUGGUCUUUUUACAUGGAUUUUCUGCCAGUUGUGGUGAUCAUAGGAAAUGAAUGUAUUGACAUGGGUUUACUCACUUUGUUCAAAGCAGCAACACUUCAAGGAAUGAACAAUCAUGUCUUUAUAGNNNNNNNNNNNNNNNNNNNNNNNNNNNNNNNNNNNNNNNNNNNNNNNNNNNNNNNNNNNNNNNNNNNNNNNNNNNNNNNNNNNNNNNNNNNNNNNNNNNNNNNNNNNNNNNNNNNNNNNNNNNNNNNNNNNNNNNNNNNNNNNNNNNNNNNNNNNNNNNNNNNNNNNNNNNNNNNNNNNNNNNNNNNNNNNNNNNNNNNNNNNNNNNNNNNNNNNNNNNNNNNNNNNNNNNNNNNNNNNNNNNNNNNNNNNNNNNNNNNNNNNNNNNNNNNNNNNNNNNNNNNNNNNNNNNNNNNNNNNNNNNNNNNNACUGUUUUCACCAGAAGGUUCAUAAUAGUUGUUUAUUUAUUGUAAUAUCAUAAACAAAAAACAUAUGCAUAUGAUUUAGUGUCUGUUUAUUGACGGUGAGUUUGGCAGAAUCACGGUGUGCCACCGAGAUUUUGAAAAAAGAAUUAUGUUUUAGAAUUUCAGUAUAUGGUGUCACCAUGAUUUUGUCAAAUUCACCGUGAUUUUAGACAUCAACUUAAGACUUACAUUUCAUUUGACUAAUUUUUUCAUGUUUUUUUGCAGAUUAAGAUUUCUUCCUCCACUCAGUUUCUCAAUUAUAUGCAAAAGUAUGCUUCUUGGGGCAAUAGGGUAAUGACAAAAUGAUCUUAUACUUUACAUAGAUAAUUAAUUGUUAAGUCCUUUUUUUCCUGCUAAUCCACCGUAAUUAAGGUCUUUGACCCCACAGCUGAGGCCCUAUUGAGCUGCUAUGGAACUAGUCUUCGUGUCCGCAGUGAGACAUCCAAUUUUUUUCACCGGAGGUUGAAUUGUCUUCCAAAUAGACGAUUGUAGUGAUCAAACCAGGUUCUUUUCCUGGAGGGAGAGGAUCAUGUUAUCAAACUCUCCCAACACCGUGUCGAUAUGAACUCCUUUUGGUAUACUUGUAAUUUUGUUAUGGCUAGUGUUGAUGUUAGAUUGUUUUGGUCAAAGGGGUCUAUUUAAUUUUAUGUUUCUGAUGAUUUGUGUUUCAUAUUUUGGAAUUGUAUGGCCAUGUUAUGCAGAUGCACAUCUCAGAUUCUGGGGUAUAUAAGUAUAAAUUACAGUUCUCCAACACUUGCUUCAGCAAUUGCUAAUCUUGUACCUGCUUUCACCUUCAUGUUAGCUGUCACUUUCAGGUUUGUGGAAAAUAGUUGUAUGUUCAAAUUCCGCUAUGCAACAGUGCUAUUGACAACAAUUUGUACUGAAUAGUUUAUCGCAGAAUCAUAGCGAUUUGUUGAAAUUUCCCUACGCAUAUUGUUGUAUAGCCGCUAUUUAACAACUUUGGCCAGGAAUGAUAACUUAUUGUGACAAUUGAGUUUUGUCUAUAAAUCAUAGCCUAAUUCCUUAACAGAAUAAGCUAAUUAAAAUUUGAACUUAUGUACCAUAAUGAAAUAUCUUGGUCUAUUGUCUACUUAUUUUGUUUCUUGUUAUCAUUGCAAUGAAGGAUGGAAAAGUUAGCUGUCAAGAGUAGAAGUAGUAAUGCUAAGGUAAUAGGAAGCAUAGUAUCAAUAGCAGGUGCUUUUGUGUUGACUUUCUAUAAAGGACCAUCCAUCAUGAAUUCUUCGUCACUUCUUCAACCAAUUGGAUUUCUCAAGUCAGUGGAUUCAAGUUGGGCCAUUGCUGGCAUUCUGCUGACUAUUGACUAUUUUCUGGUUUCACUUUUUUACAUCUUACAGGUAAGAUUAGUAUUAUAUAACAUGAAAGUUAUACUUUAGAACAUAAAAUAAAAGUAUCAGACAAUGACACGUGUCAGACACCAGACACAUCUUCAAUCUGAAGUGUCGGUUCUACAUAGCUAUUUGCUAAAAUAUACCACUUGAACUUAAUUCUCUUUUCAAUAAUACGAGCGGCGCGCAGUUCUGUAAUUCAUACUUUCCAUCACUUCAUGUGAAUUUUACUCAAUAUACCACUAUAGAUUUUGUCAAAGUCACUGUAUACACCUAAAGUAGCAUUUUCUGUUCACUAAAAUAUGCUGCUAGUUUUUCAGACAUUCCAAGUCCAUUUUACUUACAAGUAAAUAUUAAUUUCUUCAUUUCUUGUUAUCUAAUGAGGGAUUAAGUUAGUAUUAGUACUAAAAAAUUUCAGUUCCUAUAUUCAUUUCACAGGUACAUAUCUUAAAAGAGUUCCCAGAUGAACUAACUUUAGUCUUGUUAUACUCCAUAACAGCCACCAUCAUAUCAACAGUUGUAGCAUUGUUAUCAGUUCCAAAUUCAAGGGCUUGGAAAAUAGGAUUAAAUCUCUCAUUGACCUCCAUUGUUUCUUCUGUAAGAUACACUUCAAAACUACUUCUACACUUUGACCAAAAUUAUUUACACUUCUUAAACUUUGCAGAAUUUAUUGAUGACACAUUUUCUUUUUUCAGGGAAUUUUUGGAAAGUUGAUAGGCAAUAUAGUUUAUGCAUGGGCAGUUCGUUUAAAAGGGGCUGUCUAUGUAACCUCAUUCAAGCCACUGCAAAUUGUUAUUUCUGUUUACUUGGGUGUUAUAUUCCUUGGUGAUAGUCUUUAUGUUGGAAGGUAUGAUUAAUUCAAUUUUUUAUUAUUUCGCAUUCGAUUCUUUCUUGAAACAUAGCGAAGCGAAUAUACAAUGCUUCUACUAGGUGAAGUAUGAGGAGUAUAGCUGUACGUAGUCUUAUCUCUGAAAGUAGAGAGAUAUUUUUCGGAUUUGAACUUGUGACCUCAGGUCACAAGGCAACAACUUUACCGCCAAGAUUCUACCUUCAAACGCGAAGGUUCUAUCUGUCAAAGUCAAUCAUAUUGCACCUGUGCUUUAAGAUGUUAUGUAAAGUUUACUAUUAUGCAGCUGUUUAUCCAAUUUAGGCCUUGUUCCAAUAAACUGUUUAAUUAAGCGUUUAUAGUAGAAACGCAACGCUUCUGAUAUCAGCGUUUAUAUAUAAGCUAUUUCUAUAACAAGAAAAAAAUAACCUCAUUAUUUUCAUAUAAGCUAUAACCAAUUUUCAUAAGCUAUUCUAGAGAGCUUAUGAAAAUAAGCUGAAAAUGGAUUAUGGACAUGUUAUAAGCUGUUUCUAUAAGCUUUUUCAAACUGUCUCAAAAGUGCUUAUACCAGUAGAUAGGUUCAAAUAAGUUAAUCUAAACAGACUCGCGGUUUAGUUUAGUAGUCUGCAUGUACCUUUACUCAAAACCAUGUGUGCUUAUUUAACCUUAACCAUAAACCAGCCACAUUUUAGCAUUAUUGUUGCUCAUUUAUGAUUUUCCAACUUAAUGACAUGGUUGUUAAUUGUUGUUCACUUGUGUACAUUCUUUCUCAAUUCUGCAGUAUAAUUGGAGCAACAAUAGUCUCAGUUGGUCUUUAUGGUGUAUUAUGGGGAAAAGCAUCAGAAGAGAUAGAGGAAGAUAUCGGUAUCUUGGAGUCACCAUCUACAGAGAAUGCACCUCUGUUGCCAAGUUAUAGAACUUAUCAAACUUUUGAAAAGAAAACAGAUGGAAAUGUUUAAAAACACGGUCAUGAAAUCGUGAUUCAAUCAGGAAUCAAAAGUCGUAUACAUCGAAUCAUGUGUCAUAAGAUACAUGCGUCAUGCGCAAUGAAAGUUUGACAUUUUAAGUAAAAACAAGUGAUAUAUGUAAAUAUUAUAAGUUGGUAUAUCAUAUUCAAACCUUGAAAUAAAUCGAGAUUUAAGUCAUAAACCAAAAUGGCAAAAGAAAUAGGUUUAAUUUAAGGAAAACUAUUGAUUUAUCUAAAUUUAUCGAGAUUCAUGUGUAAAAUGUAUAUGUAGAACAAUUAAUAUUGACCUGAGUUAGUUUAUUUCGAAUCGAGAUACGCCUUUGACGACAUGUAUAGUAUGACAUUGAUAGCCAUGUUUAAAAAGACAAGUAAAAACUCUUCACAUUAAAACAUGAAGUGAAGUUUCCAUUUCUAAAUUCUAACCAUUUACUCUUCCUAGAUACCAUUGUCAGUUUCUAUAUCAUUAUUGGAUGUUCUUAUAUUUCUUAAAUGAAAAGCUUUUUCUCCAAAAAAUGUCCAUUGGUGAAAGAGGCUAGAGUUUCAAUAAUAUGAAUUACAUAAUUUCUUAAAAUGAAGGUCACAAAGAUAAAAAAAAUAAAGUAAAAGGAAUCUUAUUUGUCCAUUUGUGUAACAUAGCUUUCCCUGCUGAAAUGUCAAAUUUGUUUGUUCUAAAGAAGUCACUAGUCAUUGACAUUACCUUAUCUAAUCUAAUAGUUUUAAAUUCUUGUUAACUAUUAUACAUAUAGAAUUUUAACUACAAAAAACGUAUUGUUACGCGUACAAUUGCACGCCCUAAACAUGUUCAGGACACCGUCAGUGUAAUUCUACAGUCUCAUACUAUUGAUUGUGGUUUGUUUAAGGUGUAAAUUUUUUGAAAAACUCUUAUUGGUUUCUGGUAAAUUUUCUAGAUUAUAUAUAAUGAAUAGUAAAUAUAGUAUAUGAAAUUUGAAGUGUACUAAAGGGUAUCUGUAAGACAGAAGUCUUGGCUGUAAGGGAUGGACAGAAGGUACUGUUACAAAGAUUUGCUACCUUUUAUGGUUCUUGUUGGCAAUGAAUGCAUCAUAACAGGAGUAUACACUUUGUUCAAAGCAGCAACUUUGCAAGGAAUGAGUAAAUAUGUCUUUGUUGCUUAUUCUUAUACUGUAUCAACUAUCUUCCUCUUUCCUGUGUAUUUUUUUUAUAGAAGGUUUGUAUAAUUACAGUUUUUUAUUGCAAAAUACUGUCUUAAUUAGUACAUGUUUAGAUUAUUGACAGUGAUUAAUGAUUGUUUUUUCAUGUUCUUUUCAGAUCAAGAGUGGUUCCUCAACUCCGUUUCUCCAUCUUAUUUAAAAUUGCACUUCUUGGAGUCAUAGGGUAAGUAAUAAUACUAAAAGGUUUUUUAUAUUUAGUUUGUCUUGGAAUAGAUUUUAGUCUCCAAAAUUUACAAUACAAUUAACAAUCCUCGAUACUCCAUAUAGCUUUUCUAGUCGACUGUUGGACUAUUUAGUUGAUUUUAUGUUAGAUUGUUGGAUAGCUAUAAAAACACUUUUGAGCUUGUUUGUGUGUGCUUACUUACGAAAAGAACUUACGACAUGUCUAUUGGUUUGGAUUUUGGUGGCUAUGAAUAUUUGAAGAUGUUCAGCUCAGAUUAUGGGGUAUGCUGGCAUCAGUUACAGUUCUCCUACACUUUCCUCUGCAAUUGGAAAUCUAAUUCCUGCUUUCACAUUCAUGUUAGCUGCCAUUUGCAGGUUUCAUCCACUUUUUUUCAACUGACAAUUUUUUUCUUCUUUUCAUCUUAGUUUAUUUUGUUAAUAUUUUGAACAAUUUAAGGAUGGAAAAGUUAGCUAUAAAAAGUAGAACUACACAAGCUAAGGUUUUGGGAAGCAUUAUAUCAAUAUCAGGUGCAUUUAUAGUGACUUUCUACAAAGGAAAAUCAAUUAUCAUUGCUCAUAUUUCCUCUUCCUUUUAUCUUCAACACUCCUCAAAUGGCAUUCUUGCAUCAGUAGAUAUAAAUUGGUCCAUUGGUGGCCUUUUGCUGACAGUAUCCAAUAUACUACUUACCAUAUGGUUCAUUGCUCAGGUAUAUAUUUUGUUACCAAAUUGAAGGUGUGUCUGAUGUCUGACACUUAUCAUUAUCGGACAUGAUAUUGACACAUGUGGUAGAUUCAGUUAUUUUAAUUUUUCAAAUCAUUAUUAGUAUUGACGUGUCACUUUCGUAUUUGGUGUUUUGUAUAUGCGUGUCAGUGUUUCAUAGAUUAUAUUUACUUUCUACUAAUAAUUUUGAAUUCUGAUAUAUAUAUGUUCAUUUUGAAGGUUGAAAUCAUGAAGGAGUUUCCAGAUGAACUAACUUUGGUCUUCUUUCACAACUUAUUUGCAACCAUUUUGGCUUUAGGUGUAGGUUUAUUAGCAGAGACAAAUAGUAGUCUUUGGAAUAUAAGACUAGACAUAUCACUGAUCUCUAUUGUCUGCACGGUAAGAUAAGAUAUCCCUAACACUUCUUUUUCUCACUGACACAUGAAACUGACAAAAUAUGAUUAAUUCAUGCACACUGUUAAUGUAAAGUUAUUUUACACCGUAGAUCAGUUAUAAUUGUCAGAUAACUUAAAAUGUUUUAGGAGUCAUGACAUAUAUGAUUUGUUGAUAGUGUCAAAUAUUUUACACUAUUAACAGUGUCUCAAAAUUAAACUUAUGUACUUAACUAAUGCAGCUAAUUGAUUAUGUUAUGAUGUAUUUAUUCUUAGGGAAUAUUUGGCAAGUUCCUGAGUAGUGCAGUAUAUGCUUGGGCAAUACACUUAAAGGGUCCUGUAUAUGCAACAAUGUUCAAGCCACUUUCAAUUAUUAUUGCUGUUGUCAUGGGUAUGGUGUUCCUUGGUGAUACUCUUCAUAUUGGAAGGUCAGCAUAUAUUGUUUUUAUAUUUGAUUCUAGUUUACAAAGAAAGUAUAUAAUGUUUAAAAUAAGAAUAAGAGAAAUUACAUAAAUUGGGGGCCUAAGCCAAAACCUGAUAUAAACAACCAAGGGCAUAAAUAACAUGCCUUGUUAAAAAAACUUACCGCAAUUUCAUGCAUAGCCCUAAUGAGCCCUGCAUGAAAACAAUAGAUAUAUUUAAGUUUUGAGCGAAACAGCUCACAACAGCAACCCUAAUACCACCACACACAGCUGGUCCAGGGUAACCAUUUGUUGUACCAUCUGUGUUGCAUUUGAUCUUGGAAAAAAUAGGUGGAUGCCAUAUAACCUCUUUAAUCCGAGGAGCAUUGGGAGCAUGGAUUAAAAUAGAAAAGGUCUUAAGUAUCACAAAAUCAUGCAUAGCUGAGAAAGAGGUCCCUACAGCAAGAGAAGUAUUGGAGAUCACCAAAAGAGAGGCCGAUUUCCAAGAAAUAAUCUUACCAAAGAAAAUAUUUUUGAAUUUAUGAGGCACGAUUGAUACAUAUAAGGAAAAUGAAAAUAGCUAUAAGUUACUUCUAUAAGUUUUUUCAAACAGUCUCACAAGUACUUAUACUAAUAGAUAAGUUCAAAUAAGUCAAUCUAAAGAGACACUUGGUUUAGUUUAGUAGCAUGCAUGUUUCUUUUCAUUUGGGAACAACCUUCACUCAAACAAGAUAACCAGACAUGUGUGCUUAUUCAUCCUCAACCAUAAACCUGCCACAUUUUAGCAUUUUUCUUGCUCAUUUAUGAUUUUCCAACUUAAUGAUAUGGUUGUUGAAGUGUUCAUUUGCGUAUAUUCUUUAUGAUUUUGCAGUAUAAUUGGAGCCACAGUAAUCUCAAUUGGUCUUUAUGCUGUAUUAUGGGGAAAAACAUCAGAAGAUAUAAAGAAGGAUAUUGUUGGUACCUUUGAGUCACCAGAGAAUGCACCUCUGUUGCAAGGUUAUAGAACUUAUCAAACCUUUGAAAAGAAAACAGUUGCAAAUGUUUAGAAACACGGUCAUCAAAUCGAGAUUCAAUCAUGACUCAAAAGCCCUAUACACCAAAUCAUGAAUCGUAAGAUACAUGCGUUACACGCAAUGAAAGUAUGAUAUUUUAAGUAAAAACAAGUGAAAUAUGUAAAUAGUGUAAGUUGAUAUAUCAUAUUCAAACUUCGAAAUAAAUGGAGAUUUAAGUCAUAAACCAAAAUGGCAAAAGAAAUAGGUUUAUUGUCCAAAGUUGUCAAAAAAAAGUGUGGCCGGCUACGUACACAGGUUUAAUUUAAGGGAAACUAGUGAUUCAUCUGAAUUUAUCGGGAUUCGUGUCUAAAGUGUAUAUGUAGAACAGUUAAUAUUGACAUGAUUUAGUUUUAUUUCGAAUCGAGAUACACCUUUGACACCAUGUAUAGUAUGGCAUUGAUAGCCAUGUUUAAAAAGACAAGUAAAAAUUCUUCACCUUCAUUAAAACAUGAAGUGAAGUUUCCAUUUCUAAAUUCUAAACCAUUUACUCUUCCUAGAUAGCAUUGUCAGUUUCUAUAGCAUUAUUGGAUGUCCUUAUAUUUCUUAAAUGAAAAGCUUUUUCUCCAACAAAAAUGUCCAUUGGUGAAAGAGGCUAGAGUUUCAGUAAUAUGAAUAACAUAAUUUCUUAAAAUCAAGUUCACAAGGAUAAAAUAAAAGGAAUAUCUUAUUAAUAUUAACCCAAGAAUAUUGUGGUGCCUGCCGCCAUAGAACCUGAAUAUUCACGGAGGAGNNNNNNNNNNNNNNNNNNNNNNNNNNNNNNNNNNNNNNNNNNNNNNNNNNNNNNNNNNNNNNNNNNNNNNNNNNNNNNNNNNNNNNNNNNNNNNNNNNNNNNNNNNNNNNNNNNNNNNNNNNNNNNNNNNNNNNNNNNNNNNNNNNNNNNNNNNNNCCAUCCAAAUCGUAUGAAUUGUAUGCAAGAUGUCAGCCAAAGCAAUGUCACGCAGCAGCAGACGAACAGCAGACAGACAACGUAGCAGCAUGUCAACAGGCGAAGAAAAAUCAAAUUUACAUCGUAGUUUACCUUCCAGCCACACCCAAAUGGAGCGCGCAAACUGACAAUCAAAAAACAAGUGACGAGUAGUCUCAUAAGCAUGCAAACAGAGGGCGCAAACAGAAACCAAAACACAUCCUCUCGACCGAAGAUUAUCAUCCGUUGGCAUACGAUUAUGGAUAAUGCGCCACAUUAGAAAUGAACAUGAGGGUGGAAUGAAAUUGCACCAUAUCAAAGUUGCCAUGAGACAGGUGGUGGCUUUGGAAAUAGAUGUAAGCAUCACGAGCUGAUAACAUCCCGUCCUUAGUGUUCUUCCAGCGAGACGAUCAACAACAUCAUAACGAGGUAAUGUAAUCGCCAAAAUCUCGUCCGUCAACCAAGGAGCCAUGUCAUUAAUUAAAUCAGGAACUGUCCAUUGUCCAUUCUCAAUUAAAUUCUCCACCGCCUUAGCCGUAAGAGGGGUGCUGCAUAUGCAAGGGAAUAUUCAAAGCCUCCACAAGCUUUUUCUCCAAAUGAUAAAUGUCCAUUGGUGAUGUGAAAGAGGCUAGAGUUUCAAUAAUAUGAAUAACAUAAUUUCUUAAAAUGAAGGUCACAAAGAUAAAAUAAAAUAAAAGGAAUCUUAUUUGUCCAUUGAUGUGUAACAUAGCUUUCCCUGCUGAAAUGUCAAAUUGGUUGGUUCUCAAGAAGUCACUAGUCAAUUGUGAAAAAAGAAAAAGAAAAAGAAGUCACCACUCACAUUACCAUGGGCCCUUUCCCUCCAUCCAUAUAGAUAUUUUCGUAAGUUAUUUACUAUUUUCAUGUACUUAUUUUAUAAUUUUAUUUUAUUGUUAACUAUUUUCUCCGUGCUUAAUUAUAAGUACUCUUUAAAAGAAGUUUUUUGUCUCUAAAUAUAAGCUCAUUUUCAUGUUUCAAAACAUAUUUAUUAUUUUUUUCAAACAUAACCCUAUUUAAUACUAUUACUUUACGGUGAGGCCUACUAUACACAUUCAUAAUUUGAGGGUAUUUAUCCAUUAACCAAUAAAAACAAACCAUACAAGUGAAUUUGCACGUGGUAUCCACAACUAACUUGUAACAAACUUUUGAAUUUGCAUAUGACUUGUUCUUAUUGGUUGAUAAGUAAAUACACUCAAAUCAUGAAAGAUUAGAUUAGAAAAAACAUGUUUUGCCUCUUGUCGAGGUUCUUUCUUCUUUUACAUUGUAAUAUUUAAAAUCAAACCGGAAAUAAUCAUUUUACAAAGUACAAAAAACGUGUUGUUACCCAUACAAUUGCACACCUUAAACAUGUUCAAAGACACUGUCAUUGUACAUAUUUUUUAUAGACUAAAGGGUGUGUCUGUAAGACUAAAGUACUCUAGUUCUUAGGGAUGGAUAGAAGAUAUUGUUACAAAGAUUUGCUACCAUUUGUGGUUCUUGUUGGCAAUGAAUGCAUGAUAACAGGAGUAAACACUUUGUUCAAAGCAGCAACUUUGCAAGGAAUGAGUAAAUAUGUGUUUGUUACUUAUUCUUAUACUUUUGCAACUAUCUUCUUCUUUCCUGUCUAUUUUUUCUAUAGGUUUGUGUAAUUCCAGUUGUUUAUUGUAAAUCAUAUGCAUAUAUAUAACUUAACUGUCUUAAUUAGUGCAUGUUUAGAUUAAUGAUUGUUUUUUCAUGUUCUUUUCAGAUCAAGAGUGGUUUCUCAACUCAGUUUCUCCAUCUUAUCUAAAAUUGCUCUUCUUGGAGUCAUUGGGUGAGCAAUACUAAAAUUUAGUUUGUCUUGGAAUAGCUUUUAGGGCUUGUUUGGAUUGACUUAUUUUUGAGCUUAUGCAAAACAAGUUAUACAAAUAAAUAAGUUUUUAUGUAUUAUUAUAAGUUUGUCAAGAUAGUUUAUGAAAAAAUAGCUUAUAAAAAUACAAUUUUAGUUAGUGAGAACUUAUGAAUUAACCCCAAAACUUAUUUAUUUGUAUAAGUUGUUUUGCAUAAGCUCGAUUAUUGGACUAUAUAGUCGAUUUUAUGUUAGAUUGUACCUUCUUGUCUUUCAGUCAACUGUUAGAUUAUUAUUUGGUCGGUUUUAGGUACAUUGGACCUUCUUAAGUGUCUUGCAGUCAAUUAUUGGACUAAUUAGUCGGUUUUAGGUUACAUUGUACCUUCUCAAGAGUCUUGCAGUUGACUACUGUCGAACGGAUUGGAUUAUUUGAACUUAUUUAGUUACAUAAACACUUGUGAGACUGUUUGUGAGAGCUUAUAGAAAGAAAAAAAAUUAGGACAUGUUCAUAAGCUUGAUUUCAUAAGCUCUCUAGGAUAGCUAUGAAAAUAGUUUAACUUUAUUUUAUAUUUUGUUCUAGAAAUAGCUUAUACAUAAGAACUUAUAUGAUAAAUGUUUAUGCUAUAAGUAUCAUUAAGAGUCUGUUUAGAUUGACUUAUUUGAGUAUAUCUAUUGGCAUAAGAACUUAUAUAAACAGCUUAUAGCUUAUAUGCUAGUAAUUUAACUGUUUAUCCAAAUAGUGGCUAAUUCUUGUACUUGUUGUGUUUAUGCCAUGAAUAUUUGAAGAGGUUCCGCUCAGAUUUUGGGGUAUACUGGCAUCAGUUACAGUUCUCCUACACUUUCCUCUGCAAUUGGAAAUCUCAUUCCGGCUUUCACCUUCAUUUUAGCUGCUAUUUGCAGGUUUCAGCCACUUUCUUUCAACUGACAAUUUUUUUUCUUUUCAUCUUAGUUUAUUUUGUUAAUAUUAUGUAUUAUAUUUUUAUUUUGUUAAUAUUUUGUAACAAUUUAAGGAUGGAAAAGCUAGCUAUAAAAACUAGAACUACACAAGCUAAAGUCUUGGGAAGCAUUAUAUCAAUAUCAGGUGCAUUUAUAGUGACUUUCUACAAAGGAAAAUCAAUUAUCAUUGCUCAUAAUUCCUCUUCCUUUCAUCUUCAACACUUCUCAAAUGGCAUUCUUACAUCAGUUGAUAUAAAUUGGGUCAUUGGUGGCCUUUUGCUGAUAGUAUCCAAUAUACUAAUUACCAUAUGGUUCAUUGUUCAGGUAUAUAUUUUGUUACCAAAUAUUGGAAUAUAUACAAUAAGGUCUAUGUUAUGUAGCAUCGAAACUUCAGAUUAAAGGUGUGUCCAUUGUCCAGUGUCUGACACUUGUCAUUAUCGGACAUGACAAUGGCACAUGUGGCUAGAUUCAAUUAUGUGUUAGUGUCGUGUGUGGUGUCUGUAUCUGUGCGUCAGUGCUUUAUAGAAUAUAUUUACUUUCUAAUAAUUUUGAUUUCUGAUUUUUAUGUUCAUUUUGAAGGCAGAAAUCAUGAAGGAGAUUCCAGAUGAACUAACUUCGGUCUUCUUUCACAACUUAUUUGCAGCCACUUUUGCUUUUUGCGUAGGUUUAUUAGCAGAGACAAAUAGUAGUCUUUGGAAGAUAAGACUGGACAUAUCAUUGAUCUCUAUUGUCUGCACCGUAAGAUAAGAUACCCCUAACACAUGAAAACUAAAAAAAUAGGAAUUCAUAUACACCGUUAGUGUAAAGUUAUUUUACAAUGUCAAUUAAUUAUAACAACCAGAUCAUUAAAUAUGAUUGCUAGUGAUUUGCUGAUAGUGUAAAAUAUUUUACAUUACUGACAGUGUAUCGAAAUUAAACUUAUGUACUUAACUAAUGCAAUUUAUUGAUUAUGUUAUGAUGUACUUAUCCUUAGGGAAUAUUUGGCAAGUUCAUGGGUAAUGCAAUAUAUGCUUGGGCAAUACACUUAAAGGGUCCUGUAUAUGUAGCAAUGUUCAAGCCGCUCUCAAUUGUUAUUGCUGUUGUCAUGGGUAUGGUGUUCCUCGGUGAUACUCUUCAUAUUGGAAGGUGAGUAGUUUUUAUGCUUAUAUUAGUAGAUAACUUCAAAUAAGUUAAUCGAAACAGACUCUAGCCUGCAUGUAUCUUUUCAUUUAGGAACAACCUUUACUCAAACUAGAUAACCAAAUCAUGUGUAUUCAUCCUCAAUCAUAAACUAGACACAUUUUAGCAUUUGUCUUGCUCAUUUAUGAUUUUCCAGCUUAAUGAUAUCGUUGUUGAAGUGUUCAUUUUGUGUAUACUCUUUAUGAUUUUGCAGUAUAGUUGGAGCUACAAUAAUCUCAAUUGGUCUUUAUGCUGUAUUAUGGGGAAAAGCAUCAGAAGAGAUAGAGGAAGAUGUUGGUACCUUGGAGUCACCAUCUACGGAGAAUGUAGCUCUGUUGCAAAGUUACAGAACUGAUCAAACUUUUGAAAAGAAAACAGAUAGGAAUGUUUAAAAACACGGUCAUCAAAUCGAGAUUCAAUCAUGAAUCAAAAGCCCUAUACAUCGAAUCAUGUACAUUUGUGACGCACAAUGAAAGUAUGACAUUUUAAGUGAAAACAAGUGAUAUAUUCAAACCUUGAAGAAAUAGGUUGAUUGUACAAAGUUGUCAAAAAAAAGUCAUAAAUCAAAAUGGCAAAAGAAAUAGGUUGAUUGUACAAAGUUGUAAAAAAAAAGUGUGGCCGGCUGCACGGGUUUAAUUUAAGGGAAACCAGUAGUUCAUAUGAAUUUAUCGAGAUUCAUGUGUAAAAGAAAUAUGUAGAACAAUUAAUAUUGACUUGAUUUCGAAUCGAGAUACAACCUUGAUGUUAUGUAUAGUAUGAUAUUGAUAACCAUGUUUAAAAAGACAAGUAAAAGCAUUUCACAUUCAAACAUGAAUUGUAGUUUCCAUUUUAGUAAAUGAAAAAUUAGUCAAAAAAUAAAAAGUAAAUGAAAAAUUAAAAAGGUAUCUUAUUUGUCCGUUUGUUCAACAUGGCUUUGCCUGCUGUAAUUAGAGUUACCGGUCACUGACAUUACCUUGGGCCAUUUCCCUCCAUAAUUGAAGUACUAUUCUCAUGUCUUAUCUAAUAAUUUUUCUUGUUAACUAUUACACGUACAGAUAUUUUAAGUGAAAAAAAUAGGCUUAAUUGCAAUUUUAGUGCUUACAUUUUCACCAUUCUGCGACAUUGGUCCCACUGUUUUAAAAUUUGACAGUUUUGACUACUCCAUUGAAAUAUUUGAUCAAAAAUAUGACACCAUCUUAAAAUUGAUAGUUGAGCAGCUCAACCCUAUAAAACAGAUCUGUAAGGCGAGAAUUGUCUUUACCUUUUAAACAUAUCUUCAGACCAUCUCGUAAUCGAUGUGAGAUUUCUUGACACAAUAUAGAACCAAAACUAUCAAAUUUUGAAAUAGAGGGACCAAAUCCGCAAAAGUAUUAUUGCAUGUACAGUUGCACAACAUGUUGAGGAUACCAUCAUCGUACAUAUUAUUUAGACUAUCAAUUAAUUAUAAGAUAUCACAUCAACUUCAACCAUAACAUGUUUUAAAGUCACAUAUAAGAUUGAUACUACUUUUGCAAAAACUCCUAUUGGUUUCUGCUAACUUUCUUAGAUUAUAUAUAACUGAUAUAGUAUAUGAAAUUUGAAUUUUGAAGUGUACUAAAGUUGUGAGGGAUGGACAGAACCUACUGUUACAAAGAUUUGCUACCUUUUGUGAUUCUUGUUGUCAAUGAAUGCAUGACAACAGGAGUAAACACUUUGUUCAAAGCAGCAACUUUGCAAGGAAUGAGUAAAUAUGUGUUUGUUACUUAUUCUUAUACUUUUGCAACUAUCUUCUUCUUUCCUGUCUAUUUCUUCUAUAGAAGGUUUGUAUAACUCCAGGUGUUUAUUGUAAUGUAUACAUAACGCUAUCGUAGUGUAUGUUUAGAUUGACAAUGAUUAAUAAUUGUUUUUUCGUGUCUCGAACUUUUCAGAUCAAGAGUGGUUCCUCAACUCAGUUUCAACAUCUUAUUUAAAAUUGCUAUUCUUGCAGUAAUAGGGUAAGUAAUACUAAAAGGUCUUUUUAGUAUUUAGUUUGUCGUGGAAUAGGUUUUAGUCGACUAUUGGACUAUUUAGUAGGUUUUAGGUUACAUUGUACCUUCUCAGGAGUCUUCCAGACAAUUGUUGGACUAUUUAGUCGGUUUUAGGUUACAUUGUACCUUCUCAAGAGUCUUCCAGUUGACUGUUGAACGAAUUGGAUUAUUUGAGCUUAUGUAGUAACAUAGGCACUUGUGAGACUAUUUGUGAGAACUUCUAGAAAAAACUUAUGACAUCUUCAUAAGUUUAUCUCCAGGAUAGCUAAGAAAAUAGUUAAACAUUAUUUUAUAUUUUGUUAUAGAAAUAGCUUAUACAUAAGCACUUAUAUGAUAAAUGUUAUGCUAAUAUUUAUUGGUUUGGAUUUUGGUGGCCAUGAAUAUGUGAAGAUAUUCAGGUCAAGUAUUAGGGUAUGCUGGCAUCAGUUACAGUUCUCCUACACUUUACUCUGCAAUUGCAAACCUCCUUCCUGCUUUCACCUUCAUUUUAGCUGUCAUUUGCAGGUUUCAUCCACUUUCUUUCAACUGAAAAAUCUUUUUUUCUUUUCAUCUUAGUUUAUUUUGUCAAUAUUAUGUUUUAUAAUUUUAUUUUGUUAAUAUUUUGUAACAAUUUAAGGAUGGAAAAGCUAGCUAUAAAAAGUAGAACUACACAAGCUAAGAUUUGGGGAAGCAUUAUAUCAAUAUCAGGUGCAUUUAUAGUGACUUUCUACAAAGGAAAAUCAAUUGUCUUUGCUCAUAAUUCCUCCUCCUUUCAUCUUCAACUCUCAAAUGACAUUCUUACAUCAGUUGAAACAAAUUGGGCCAUUGGUGCCCUUUUUCUGACAGUAUCAAAAAUACUAUUUACCAUAUGGUUCAUUGUUCAGGUAUAUAUUUUGUAACCAAAUAUUGGAAUAUACAAUAAUUAUGUAGCAUAGACACUUUAGAUUGAAGGCGUGUUCAUUGUCCAAUAACUGACACUUGUCAUUAUCGGACAUCAUAUUGACACACAUGUGGCUAGAUUCAAUUAUUUUAGUUUCUCCAAUUAUUAUUAAUAUUUAGAUUAAAUUGUACUUUUGGCCCUCUAACUUUAACAAAUUUGCGAUUUUGGCCUCCUAACUUUCAUGAUAACACUUUUGGCCCUUAACUUUAUUCCAUUUUGCAAAAGACUAACCCCCAACUGAUUUCGACCAAGUCAACGCACACAUGGACAAUGACUCACAUGUCACGUCAGCUUGUCUUCCCACAUAUGUUGACGUGGCAAGACAUGCUGACGUGAAACGUGAGUCACAUUCCAAGUGUGUGUUGAUUUGGUCAAAAUCAGUGCGUCAGCCUUUUGCAAAAGGCGCUAAAGUUAGCAGGGGCCAAAAGUGUUGUUAUGAAAAUUAGGGGACCAAAAUCACAAGUUUGUGAAAGUUAGGGGCCAAAAAUAUCUGUAUCGGUGUGUCAGUGCUUUAUAGAAUAUGAUUACUUUCUAAUAAGUUUGGAUUCUGAUAUAUAUGUUCAUUUUGAAGGCGGAAAUCAUGAAGGAGAUUCAAGAUGCACUAACUUCGGUCUUCUUUCACAACUUAUUUGCAAGCAUUUUGGCUUUAGGUGUAGGUUUAGUAGCUGAGACAAAUAGGAGUCUAUGGAAAAUAACACUGGACAUAUCACUGAUCUCUACUGUCUGCACUGUAAGAUAAGACGCCCCUAACAUUUUCUUUUCACUGACACAUGAAAUCUACAAACAAUAUGAAUUCAUACAUACUGUUAGUGUAAAGUUAUUUUACGUUAUCAAUCAAUUAUAACUGCCAGGCCAGAUCAUUAAACUUAUGUACUUAACUAAUGCAGAUUAUUGAUUAUGUUAUGAUGUAUUUAUUCUUAGGCAAUAUUUGGCAAGUUCCUAGGUAGUGCAAUAUAUGCUUGGGCAAUACACUUAAAGGGUCCUGUAUAUGUAACAUUGUUCAAGCCACUCUCAAUUGUUAUUGCUGUUGUUAUGGGGAUUCUUUUCCUUGGUGAUACUCUUCAUGUUGGAAGGUGAGUGAGUAUAUAUAGUUUUUAUAUUUGAUUCAAGUUUACAACAUGGGAAAGUAUAGAAAGUAAAUAAGAUUGAAGUUAAAUAAAAGAAGGUAAAUGAAAAUUUAUAUAAUAAGAAUUUUUAUGAUAGUAUGAAAGAAAAUAUUUCGGAAUUUAUGUGGCACGAUUGAUAUAUAUGUAUUAGGAUCUCUUGAGCAUGUUGUCAGAUGUUUCUUAUUGCAUCUAUUACGAGAGCCAACACGGUUUGACACUAUAAUUCUUAGAUGUUCGAUCUCAGGCUCAUGAAUAAGGAAAAUCCAUAGGCUAACCCCUUAAAUGCAUCUUAGUGCCGCGAGGGAUUAGUUUAUAUUGUAAUGGAUCCAAAUUACGGUUCACUUCAAGUAUAUAUAGGCUUAAAAAUGAAUUCCAAUGCAAAGAUAGAAUGUAAUUCGGGAAAACUUUGGAAAUUUAUGCAGAGAAAUAGGAAGAACCAGAAACUGUUAUGGUUUGUAACACUGCUGCAGUUUGUAGAAUUGGCCCAAAUUUUGACGGGGUUAAUGGUAGUGGAAGAUAAUGCUCAUUAGGAUCACCUUUGAAUGGUUUAAGCCAGAAAAUAUCGAACAUUGAGUGAAUUCUUGCGGAUUCAGAGAGCCGGAAAUGGGGUCUAAAGUAUCACAUACACAACUUUUGGUUCUUCCUUAAUGCAGUAGAGUAACGUGUAUAAGGCUCAACUUGGUUUCAGCCGCGAUGGCAUCUCGGCUGCACAGUAACUCCCGCGCAGAUGGUGGACCACUAGAGUAUAAGCCUUGGUUUCAAUCUCUACUACCAUAUAAGCCUUUCAGUGAGGACAUGCCAGAGUUCCAUCCAAUGCAACAUGUUGUAAUAGAAUGCUAGAGCAUCUCAAAUAAAUCUCCAAGCUUGUUUAAAGCCUCGGAUUGACCAUGAGAGUGGAAGUGAUAGGCCGGAGACAUGGCCACAUAUUGAAGACUUUAUCUCUAUCCGAGACAAUGGACUUGUAUAGGGCAUGUAAUUUCGCAAAGUGUUUGCUACUGCCUUGCUAGUGAAGUCAGAUUUCAACGCCAAGAAAACGACUAUACCAUGAUGGCAGUAAAUUCAUAAGAAAGUGGUAAUCCGGUGAUGAAAUCCAUAGCCACAUCUUCUUUCACCUGCUAGGGUAUUGACUAUGGCUGUAAAAGCCCUGCAGUUUUAAGACCCUAAAAUCGGUACAAAACCUUCAACUACCAAUUUACCAUGUUUCUUCCUUGACAAGUAAAAUGAGAGAAGAUAAUUUUUUAUGCAAAAGUUAAGUCUUUUUAUUCUUUAAACAAUGUUCAAAGCACGCCGACUCUCCUUUCGUCAUAAGGCGUGGAAUUGUUAGUAUGAUUCUUUUUAUUUGUUUAACAUUGGCAUUUCAUUGUGCAGUAUAAUUGGAGCCACAAUAAUAUCAAUUGGAUUUUAUACUGUAAUGUGGGGAAAAGCAACUGAAGAGAAGGAAGAUGGUUUUGGUAGCAAGGAAUCACAACCUAUUGAGAAUGUUCCUCUCUUGCAAGAUUAUCAAACUCUCAAAUCAUAAAAAGAAAACAUGCAAGUAGAUUAUCAAACUGUUUUAUUUAGUCGCAACAGUUAUUUCCGUAAUUUUUAUUCACUCUAUAAAAACGGUAACGGACACCACUGAUACAGUUUUAUUCCGUUUCUACGGACAUUUUUUAUAUAAUAACAGACCGUUACUAAUACCGUGAUCUAAAAAAUAUGAACCGGCAGGUUCACAUCAACCAUACUUGGCGUGAAGGAAACAAAUUGGCUGAUUGACUAGCUUACUUUAAUCUGUCUUUAAACUCUUUUGAUUUGCAUGUUUUGGAGGGUUCCUCCUAGAGAUCUUCAAAGACUCAUUUUUUAUGACAUAUCCGGCGCUUGUAAGCGUCGGAGUGUGCCUUUUAACUUUGUAAUUUACUAAUUUUCCUUUUUCCUUCUUGGGCACUCUGCCCCCUUUGUUUACCAAAAAAGAAAAAUCUUGAUUAUAUUUAAUCUUUUUAUAUAUAAUUAAUUAUUCACUUGGUCUUUUCACAUUUACAAAUGCCACUCUAUUAUUAAUAAUCACGUUGCAGAUUUUUAGUAACAACUACUUGAGUCAUUCCAAUUCAACUGAUUUUGCAUUAAUUUAGGGAGCUAUACCUUAGAACAAAAAAAUUGGAACGUGCCUUUUUUGUAGCAACACCCCUUCAAUAUUAUCUUAGUAUUUAUCAUUAAUAAUAAAAUUAUAUAUCCCUAGAGUUGAUUAGACUAUAGUAUAAGGUAUCUGGGUUUGUACACAACAAUAUAAUUACAACUAUAUGGUGAUGUUGUAUACUCACUAGUUGCAAUAAACAACAAAAUAUAUUUGAUUUCAUGAAGUGAUACACAAAUUAAGAAACACAAUUAAUUUUAUAUGGAAGACAUAAAUAAAUUAUAAUUUAGUGAAAAAAAAUAUUUGAGCAGACAUCUGAUUCAACUAACAAUUCAGAAAUUAUUAGAAUAAAGACCUUCAUCCGGGUUCGAAUCCGAGAUAUUUGUUUGUAGAUAAGAAGAAAAUAAAUAAAAAAAUUAUCUGAAUUGUCAUUUUCACCAUUGCUUGUAAAAUUUAAUUUGCUAUCGUGGACCCAUUUUGAGCACAAAUUAAUUAUUCAUAUGUUAUAUGCAAACAGACAAUACCAUGAAAAAGUUUUAAGAUAUUUUGGCCAAACCAAUAUGAAAAACUAUUAUUAUUAUUAUAAUACUAUUAUCCAUUUAAGGCUAAACAUCUUUAACUUUGGUUCUGUUUUUCUAGUCACAAAACCAAAACCAUAUCAUAAUUAACAUGUCUCAGAAAUUCUAAACAUCAACAGAAACUUUUGAUUGUUUGUUGUAACAGAACUGACAGAAAACAUGACAAGAAGAUGGUCCUUUUACAUGGAUUUUCUGCCAGUUGUAGUGAUUAUAGGAAAUGAAUGUAUUGACAUGGGUUUAUUGACUUUGUUCAAAGCAGCAACACUUCAAGGAAUGAAUAAUCAUGUCUUUAUUGCUUAUGCUUAUGCUGUUGGUACUUCUGUUCUUCUCCCUGUCACUCUUUUCACCAGAAG
rnacentral:lncRNA from 1 species